CACGUGGGUGAUCUGCCCUGCACUUCGGGAUAAGCCUGGGAAACUGGGUCUAAUACCGGAUAGGACCUUCUGCCGCAUGGUGGGGGGUGGAAAGGUUUUCCGGUGCAGGAUGGGCCCGCGGCCUAUCAGCUUGUUGGUGGGGUAACGGCCCACCAAGGCGACGACGGGUAGCCGGCCUGAGAGGGCGACCGGCCACACUGGGACUGAGACACGGCCCAGACUCCUACGGGAGGCAGCAGUGGGGAAUAUUGCACAAUGGGCGCAAGCCUGAUGCAGCGACGCCGCGUGAGGGAUGACGGCCUUCGGGUUGUAAACCUCUUUCAGUACCGACGAAGCGCAAGUGACGGUAGGUACAGAAGAAGCACCGGCCAACUACGUGCCAGCAGCCGCGGUAAUACGUAGGGUGCGAGCGUUGUCCGGAAUUACUGGGCGUAAAGAGCUCGUAGGCGGUUUGUCGCGUCGUCUGUGAAAACCCGCAGCUCAACUGCGGGCUUGCAGGCGAUACGGGCAGACUUGAGUACUGCAGGGGAGACUGGAAUUCCUGGUGUAGCGGUGAAAUGCGCAGAUAUCAGGAGGAACACCGGUGGCGAAGGCGGGUCUCUGGGCAGUAACUGACGCUGAGGAGCGAAAGCGUGGGUAGCGAACAGGAUUAGAUACCCUGGUAGUCCACGCCGUAAACGGUGGGCGCUAGGUGUGGGUUUCCUUCCACGGGAUCCGUGCCGUAGCUAACGCAUUAAGCGCCCCGCCUGGGGAGUACGGCCGCAAGGCUAAAACUCAAAGGAAUUGACGGGGGCCCGCACAAGCGGCGGAGCAUGUGGAUUAAUUCGAUGCAACGCGAAGAACCUUACCUGGGUUUGACAUACACCGGACCGCCCCAGAAGAUGGGGUUUCCCUUGUGGUCGGUGUACAGGUGGUGCAUGGCUGUCGUCAGCUCGUGUCGUGAAAUGUUGGGGUUAAGUCCCGCAACGAGCGCAACCCUUGUCCUGUGUUGCCAGCACGUUAAUGGUGGGGGACUCGCCAGGAGAACUGCCCGGGGUCAACUCCGGAGGAAAGGUGGGGGACAAAGUCCAAUUCUCCU
rnacentral:rRNA from 1 species